UUUUUUGUAGUAUGGAAGUUGUAAAGCUGUGUUUUAAUAGGAUUACCUUAGGAAUAAGAGGACUGCUUUUUAAAGAUACGAGAUCCCGCUGCCUUGGCAAUUCUGUUAUCAGAAAGAUAGUGAUUUUGAUACAAAACAGUAAGAAACUGUAGAAUUGCAGGACCCAUAAUCCUCACAAGGAAGAUUUAGAGAGUGCUGUGUGUCAAUCACUCAUCAGCACCUCACAGAUAUUAUCUCAAUUCGUCCUGGCAACCAUCACUGCCCCUACUUAGCAGUCUCAGAGAGGAGACUCAACUCACACAGGGGCCAAGAGCUGGACCACGGCCAACCAGGGGCAGCAGAACGCCACAGUGGUUGAGCAUGGGCUCUGGUGAAGGAUGGCGGGGGUUCAAAUCCCAGUUCUCCACCUCUCUGCUUCGCUCCGAUUCCUGGGCCUCUGAGCUGGUCUCCUCCGCUGUGGAGUAACAGUGUGACUGCUCAUCUGCACAGAUUCCUUCUGUGCUGGACACGGUUCCAACUUUCCAACUACUCCCGCAGGAGCUCAUUUAGUGGAGACAAGAUCUUGCUCAGUGUCAUAGUGAGGAAGAAAUGGAAAUAUCUGUGCAGGGCCCAAGCCCGGCCUGGUGCGGGAGAGGCAUUAAUAAACGCAGCUUGAGUUCAGAAGCAGGUGGUCUGUGGCUCACUCAGCCUGGCUUCCUGCUGGGUCUUCACAGUGCUGGGCUACCUUCCUGGAGAGAACCAAAGUCCAGGCUGUGUAGAUGCCUGUGGUCCACCAGCGCAAAGCAGCGGCCCAUCAGGACGCUUCGGAGGUAGAUGCGUCUGAGUUCCAUGACAUCGGGGACAUGGCCCCACUCCUGUUCUGGAGGUCACGGGCCUGCUGAACCUCUUGUACCAGGUCAGCCACCAGGUUCAUCUGGCAGGACCUGAGAGCCCCCACCAGGUGGGCCACUGUUGCGUUCUCCUUCUCUGUGUUCUU
rnacentral:lncRNA from 10 species